UACGUAGGGCGCAAGCGUUAUCCGGAAUUAUUGGGCGUAAAGAGCUCGUAGGCGGUUUGUCGCGUCUGCCGUGAAAGUCCGGGCUCAACUCCGGAUCUGCGGUGGGUACGGGCAGACUAGAGUGAUGUAGGGGAGACUGGAAUUCCUGGUGUAGCGGUGAAAUGCGCAGAUAUCAGGAGGAACACCGAUGGCGAAGGCGGGUCUCUGGGCAGUAACUGACGCUGAGGAGCGAAAGCGUGGGGAGCGAACAGG
rnacentral:rRNA from 1 species